rnacentral:lncRNA from 1 species
GUGCACAAGACAAGAAACCAUGGCCACUAUGUCUGCAGCACUUGGGGAAACAACCACUUCAAAACUUUUGAUGGCGACGUCUACCAAUUCCCUGGCGUUUGCGAGUAUAAUUUUGUUUCCGACUGCCGAGAUGCUUACAAGGAAUUCUCUGUCCACAUCCAGCGUGCUCUCAACAGCAAUGGCCAUCCUGAGAUCCAGUAUAUUCUGAUGAAAAUCAAGGAUAUAACCGUCUACCUCAAACCAAACCUGGUUGUGGUGGAUGGGCGGAUUGUGAAGACACCUUACUACUCCUCUGGUGUCUUCAUUGAGGCCAGUGAAAUUUACACCAAGAUUUAUGCCAAAUUAGGCAUGGUUCUGAUGUGGAACCAGCAGGAUGCCCUGAUGGUGGAGCUGGACAACAAAUUUAAUAACCAUACCUGUGGUCUCUGUGGGGAUUACAAUGGAAUUCAAAUCUACAAUGAGUUCAUCAAAGGAGGUGACUACAACUCAAUUACAUUUGGGAACAUGCAGAAGAUCAGCAAACCCACUGCCAAAUGUGAAGAUCCAGAUGAAACCCAGGCUCUUCCAAGCUGUAAUGAGCAUCGUGAUGAGUGUCACAGGUUGCUGACUUCCCCUGCAUUUGCUGAUUGUCGGCUACGGCUUAAUUUGGAAAUGUACAUCCAAGCCUGCAUGCAGGACAAGUGUGCCUGUAAUGGGAAGACAGACUCCUUCUGCCUCUGCAGCACCAUCUCUGAGUAUUCCCGCCAGUGUUCGCACGCAGGGGGCCGCCCAAGAGAAUGGAGGACAGAGAGCUUCUGCCCCAAGAGCUGUCCUGCUACCAUGGUCUACAGAGAAAGCAGCUCACCCUGCAUGGAUACUUGCUCACACUUGGACAUCAGCAGCCUUUGUGAGGAGCACUACAUGGAUGGCUGUUUCUGCCCUGAAGGAACUGUGUAUGAUGAUAUCAGUGAAAAAGGCUGCAUCCCUGUUAGCCAGUGCCACUGCAAACUUGGUGGAAAGACCUAUGCACCUGGAGAAAGGAUUUCCAAAGAAUGUGAAGAAUGCACCUGUAAUUCAGGCAGAUGGACCUGCAAAGACCUAGACUGUCCAGGCACAUGCUCAGUGGAAGGAGGUUCCCAUAUUUCCACCUUUGAUGGGAAGAAAUACACCUUCCAUGGAGACUGCUACUAUGUGUUGGCCAAGGGUACUGAAAAUGAGAAUUAUGCUCUCCUGGCAGAGCUGGCUCCCUGUGGCUCCACAGACAAACAGACCUGCUUGAAGACUGUUGUGCUGUUAGCAGAUAACAAAAAGAAUGUAAGUGGUCCUGUGUGUGUAUGUUUACUACAACAGUUCAUGUUUUGUUUUUCAGCCAGCUUCUCAGUAUUCAAGCCGUCUUCCAACUACUUUGUUGUACAAACUUCUUUUGGGCUUCAGAUGCAGAUCCAGCUGUUUCGAGUCAUGCAGCUGUUUGUGACUGUGGAUCAAUCAGUUAAAGGAAAACUUCAAGGUCUUUGUGGAAACUUCAAUGGAGUGGAAGGUGAUGACUUUAGAACAACCAGCGGGCUGAUUGAGGCUACAGGAUCUGCCUUUGCUAACACAUGGAAAGCUCAGUCCACCUGCUCAGACCAGGCAGAAAAGCUGGAAGACCCCUGCAGUCUCAGCAUUGAAAGUGCAAAUUAUGCUGAGCAUUGGUGUUCUUUGCUGAGAAACCCAAAGGGUCCUUUUGCAAGAUGUCACUCAGCCAUUGAUCCUUCAGAAUACUAUAAGAAAUGUAAAUAUGACACCUGCCUCUGUGAAGACAAUGAAGAAUGUUUGUGUGCUGCCCUGUCCUCUUACUCAAGAGCCUGUGCUUUCAAAGGGAUCAUACUGGGAAACUGGAGAAACAGUGUCUGCAGUAAGUACGAAGCAUCUUCUUGCUCAGGAAAUCAAGUCUUCCUUUACAAUCUUACAAUGUGCCAGCAAACCUGUCGUUCCCUUGCUGAUGGUGAAAAGUAUUGCUUGCAAGACUUUGCUCCUGUGGAUGGCUGUGGCUGCCCAUCCAAUACAUACUUGGAUAACCAGGAUAACUGUGUGCCCAUCUCCCAGUGCCCAUGUUAUUACAAGGGCUCAUACCUGGAACCUGGGGAAUAUUUCACAAAAGAUGGAGAACGCUGGUAUGUUUUAUUUUGGUGUAAGGUGCUUAGGUUUUUUGGUACUUUAAUGAGUCGUUGUAAUGCAUUUCACAACAUCUUCAUGCUGAGCAAAGUAUUAUCCUGUUGCAAUGCAGAGUGUGUCUCAGGCUGUGUGUGUCCUGAAGGUCUAUUUGAUGAUGGCAGAGGGGGCUGUGUUGAGCAAAAAGAUUGCCCAUGCAUUCAUAACAAUGAGUUGUAUUCUUCUGGACACAAGAUAAAAGUGGACUGCAACACUUGCACCUGCCAGAAAGGGCUUUGGAAAUGCACUGAUGACGUGUGCUAUGGGACUUGCACAAUAUAUGGAAGUGGCCAUUAUAACACUUUUGAUGGGAAAUUCUAUGACUUUGAUGGGAGCUGUGAAUAUGUGGCUGCUCAGGACUUCUGUGGCGACAAAAAUUCCAGUGGCUCAUUCAGUAUCAUCACAGAGAAUGUCCCUUGUGGAACUACAGGAGUCACCUGCUCAAAGGCUAUCAAAAUGUUCCUAGGGAAAACUGAACUGAAAUUGGAGAACAAAGAGUACAAAGAAAUUCAGCGAGAUGUUGGUGAUGAUGUGCAGUAUUGGAACAGGACAGUCGGGCUGUACUUGGUUAUUGAGGCUAGCAAUGGUGUGAUGCUGAUCUGGGACAAGAAGACCACUGUUUUCAUCAAGCUGAGCCCUGAUUACAAAGGCAAAGUGUGUGGUCUGUGUGGCAACUUUGAUGACAAGGCAAACAACGAUUUUACAACAAGGAGUGGACUGCAGGACUCUAAUCCUCUGAUUUUUGGAAAUUCCUGGAAACAAUCUCCCAUGUGCCCAGAUGUCACAAAAGAGAUUAAGCCCUGUGAUCUGAAACCACACCGGAAAUCCUGGGCAGAGAAAGAAUGCAGCAUCAUCCAGAGCGAAGUCUUCGAAAUUUGUCACUCCAAGGUGAACCCACUUCCUUUCUAUGAAGCUUGUGUUCAUGAUGCCUGCUCUUGUGACAGUGGUGGAGAUUGCGAGUGCUUCUGCUCUGCAGUUGCAGCGUACGCCCAAGAGUGCAUCAAGGCUGAGGCCUGUGUUUUCUGGAGAACUCCUGAUAUCUGCCCCAUAUUCUGUGACUACUACAACCCUCGCAAUGAGUGUGACUGGCACUACGAGCCUUGUGGCAGUAAUAUCACAACCUGCAGGAUGAUCAAUAACGUCAGCACCAACUUUACAAUACCACUACUGGAAGGCUGCUACCCCAGAUGCCCUAAGGACAAGCCUAUUUAUAAUGAAGAGACAAAGGAAUGUGUGACUGAAGACAAAUGUGGAUGUUACCUCGAGGAUGGAACCCAUGUACCCCCUGGGCAAGAAGUAGUCACAGAAGACAACUGUACAAUAUGGUAUAUAAAAAUUACUUGCAGUAAUUCAGGAAAUAAUUUGUGUAUGCGGAUUAUCGGAAAAGUACAGGAUGGCGACAUAUGUAUAAUAUACAUUUGUGCAGAAGAUGGUACUACAAAUAUUACGAUCGUGCCUUGUCCAACAACUUCACCUACAACCAUUUCAACCUCCUUCCCUUCCAGCACUCUUACCACCACCACCACCACAGCUCCUUGCUUUGGACUGAUCUGUGAGUGGACUGAGUGGUUUGAUGUUAGCAAACCUGAAGAAGGUGAUGGUGACUAUGAAACAUACGAGGAAAUAAGAAACCAUGGAAACAAAAUAUGUAGAGCUCCUGAAAAAAUUGAAUGCAGGGCUAAGGAUAAACCUGAUGUGAGCUUAGAAGAACUUGGUCAGAAAGUCCAGUGUAAUGUUACAUAUGGGCUAAUCUGUAAAAAUGAUGAGCAAGAUGUAACUAUGUGGCAACUUUGCUAUAAUUAUGAAAUCAGAGUAAACUGUUGUGAGUGGCAAGAAAUACCUUGUGAGCCUACAACUACACCUACUACACCACAAACUACAACUUCAACCACCAUCAAGACAAUACCCACCACCACUACAAUCAGGACUUCAACCACACCUAUAGCCGAGCCUACCACAAGUGAGUAUAUACCACCAGUCUUCACUCCAUCAACAUCACCAGUGUCAACAAGCCCAGUGACAGCUACCACCUCUGAAGUCACUGAAACAACACCAACCACCAAGACCACCACUUCAGGUCCCACACCCUCAAGAUCCACCAGCACCACACCAGUAACAGAAACACCUUAUCAUGAGACCACUACCAUCAGGACCCCAAGCCCCCAAUCUACCACCACUUCCAGCCCUGGCACCACCACAACCUCGGGACCAAGCAGCACUACAGUAACACCACCACCAAUAACAACAACCACCAAGACCACCACUUCAGGCCCCACACCCUCAGUGUCCACUCCCCCCACCACCACAGGAGGAACCGAAAUAAGUACCCCAGGGACAACCUCUGCAACUGUUACUACUCCAACAACAUCACCUGCAUCAACCAGCCCUGUGUCAACCACCACCUCUGGUACUACUCCAACAGAAAGCUUUACCACCACUUCAGGAACCACCUCCGUCAAUGUAACCACCACCUCCACCACAUUCACAACCCUUCCCCCUAGCUCAACUACUACAUCUGGGCCAACUGCAACAUCAACUGCAGUCACCACUACAGGAAGUUCUACGCACAGUGCAACUCCUCCAGUUAAUGGCUCAAGUUCAACUACAAGUCUAACACCAACCACUCCUAAAAAGACUUGUACUAUUUUCCCUAAUGAAUCUUAUGAGGUGAGUAGAUUUCAUGCUUUCAUUGUGCUUUGGAUGGUGACUAGACAUAUCACUUCAAUAAACCUGCAGAAGAUAUUCAGGCAUAACUGUGGUCAGUCUCACUACUUCCUAAGGUUUGUCUCUGUCUCCUCCCUCCUCUCUUUUCAAACACAGCAAGGUGACUCAUGGUGGCUCUGUAACUGCACUAAGGCAAUAUGUAUAGAAGACAACAUUGUCCAGGUGAUUCCAGUAAUCUGCAAUCCACCUCCGAAACCCACAUGUGCCAAUGGACUGUCUCCUGUGCCAGUCAUUGAUGAGGAUGGAUGCUGUUGGCACUGGGAGUGUGAUUGCUACUGCACUGGCUGGGGAGAUCCACAUUACAUGACUUUUGAUGGAUUGUACUACAGCUUUCAAGGAAAUUGUACAUAUGUCCUUGUGGAAGAGAUCAUUAAGAACGUUGACACCUUUGGUGUCUACAUUGAUAACUACCAUUGUGAUACACGGGAUGUAGUGUCCUGUCCUCGAACGCUCAUUGUGAGACACGAGACUCAGGAAAUCAGGCUAAGAACAGCAGAACCAAAUACUCUACAAGUAGAGGUGACAGUAAACAACCAGCUCGUGGCUUUACCUUAUAAAAAGUUUGGCGUGAGCAUCUAUGAGUCAGGCAUAAAUCGUGUUGUGGAAAUUCCUGAGCUGAAAAUGAAUGUGACCUACAAUGGCUUGUCCUUUUCUAUCAGAAUGCCCUACAGCCUGUUUGGCAACAACACCCAGGGACAGUGUGGUACUUGCAAUAACAACACAGCAGAUGACUGCAUGCUGCCAGAUGGAAAAAUUAUAGAUAACUGUGAAAUCAUGGCAGAUCAUUGGCAAGUUAAUGAUCCUUCCAAACCACAGUGCUCUCCAAGCCUAGUUCCUACAGGUUCACCAAGCACAACACCAACACAGCCUUGCAAAGAAUCUUCCAUCUGCGAGCUUCUUUUGGGAAGUGUGUUCAAGCCAUGCCAUUCCUUUGUCCAGCCUGAAAAGUACUAUGCAGCCUGUGUUUUUGAUAGCUGUGUACUUCCCAACCUAGACCUGGAAUGCUCAAGUCUGCAGAUCUAUGCUGCCACCUGUGCUGAUCAAGGCGUGUGCAUUGACUGGAGAAAACACACCAAUGGUGUCUGCUCUCAUGAAUGUCCUCCUGGUAAAGAAUACAGAGCAUGUGGUCCUAUUAAAGAGAUGACCUGCAAAUCAAGAGGACAGAAUGACACAUCAACUAAACAAGUGGAAGGCUGUUUCUGUCCUAAUGGAACCAUGCUGUAUGACUCUGGUGUGGAUGUCUGCGUGAAAACUUGUGGCUGUGUUGGAGUGGAUAUGAUACCAAGAGAGUUUGGAGAAAAGUUUACAGUGGACUGUCAGGACUGCAUUUGCCUGGAAGGUGAACAUGGCAUUGUAUGUCAACCUCAUGUAUGUGAUCAGAAGAAGGUCACUUGUGAUGGAGAAGGCUUCUAUGAAGUCACCGAAGUCAAUCCUAAAGACCCCUGCUGCCCUCUUUUCACUUGCAAAUGCAAUACAAGCUUGUGCACAGCCAAAGCCCCCAAGUGCUCACUGGGAUUCGAAGUUCAUUCUCAUAUUCCCAGUGGUCAGUGCUGUCCUGUAUACCAAUGUGGUAAGUCCCUUGGAAAUAUGAUGAGCCUUAUACCCAACUCCUCAGUCUUUGUUGACAAGUGUCAGAAUUGUGUGUGCACAAACGAUGUUAACGUCAGCACUCAACUGAACAUCAUCUCCUGUCAACAUGUCCCCUGCAGCACAUACUGUGAACCAGGAUAUGAACUUAAACCAGUGAAAGGUGAAUGCUGUGGAAAAUGUGUGCAGACCAAGUGUAUUAUACACACAGCAGACAAUUCUGAACUCAUCUUGAGUCCUGGAGACUUUAAAAAUGAUCCUCACAACAACUGCACCAUUUAUAGCUGUGUGGAUGUCCACAACCAGCUUAUCGCUUCCACAUCUGAGAUUACCUGUCCAGCAUUCAAUGAGGAGAGCUGCAAACCUGGAACUAUUUCUUUCUUACCUAACGGUUGUUGCAAAACCUGUAACUUAGCACUUCCAUUAGUCACAACUGUGGCUCUUCUCACAGGAGUGCUGUACCUGAUUUCACCCUCUCCUAUAUGUUGGCUUCUGGCACAGAGUAACAUUGCCAUUUUGCAUGUUAACAGAUACUCUGCUGAGGCUAAUUCUAUGGACCACAGCUGCUCCUGCUGCAGAGAAACAAGGACCACUGAGAAGCAUGUGGUUCUGAAAUGCCCCGGUGGGCACUCAGUGUCACACAAGUACAUCUAUGUGGAGAGCUGCAGCUGUCAAGACACUGCAUGCACUAGUAAUCCUAGACAUCCUCUGCAGGAAAUGGAAAGCAAUAGCCAUUUUUGA